rnacentral:tRNA from 1 species
GCCUGUGUGGCUCAGUUGGUAGAGCAUGGUGUUUGCAAUGCCAGGGUUAUGGGUUUGAUUCCCACGGGGA